rnacentral:rRNA from 1 species
AAUAAGCGGAGGAAAAGAAACCAACAGGGAUUGCCUUAGUAACGGCGAGUGAAGCGGCAAAAGCUCAAAUUUGAAAUCUGGCACCUUCGGUGUCCGAGUUGUAAUUUGAAGAAGGUAACUUUGGAGUUGGCUCUUGUCUAUGUUCCUUGGAACAGGACGUCACAGAGGGUGAGAAUCCCGUGCGAUGAGAUGCCCAAUUCUAUGUAAAGUGCUUUCGAAGAGUCGAGUUGUUUGGGAAUGCAGCUCUAAGUGGGUGGUAAAUUCCAUCUAAAGCUAAAUAUUGGCGAGAGACCGAUAGCGAACAAGUACAGUGAUGGAAAGAUGAAAAGAACUUUGAAAAGAGAGUGAAAAAGUACGUGAAAUUGUUGAAAGGGAAGGGCUUGAGAUCAGACUUGGUAUUUUGCGAUCCUUUCCUUCUUGGUUGGGUUCCUCGCAGCUUACUGGGCCAGCAUCGGUUUGGAUGGUAGGAUAAUGACUAAGGAAUGUGGCUCUACUUCGGUGGAGUGUUAUAGCCUUGGUUGAUACUGCCUGUCUAGACCGAGGACUG